AUUGAACGCUGGCGGAAUGCUUUACACAUGCAAGUCGAACGGCAGCACGGACUUCGGUCUGGUGGCGAGUGGCGAACGGGUGAGUAAUGUAUCGGAACGUGCCCAGUCGUGGGGGAUAACGUAGUGAAAAUUACGCUAAUACCGCAUACGAUCCACGGAUGAAAGCGGGGGAUCGCAAGACCUCGCGCGAUUGGAGCGGCCGAUAUCAGAUUAGGUAGUGGGUGGGGUAAAGGCCCACCAAGCCAACGAUCUGUAGCUGGUCUGAGAGGACGACCAGCCACACUGGAACUGAGACACGGUCCAGACUCCUACGGGAGGCAGCAGUGGGGAAUUUUGGACAAUGGGCGAAAGCCUGAUCCAGCCAUUCCGCGUGCAGGAUGAAGGCCCUCGGGUUGUAAACUGCUUUUGUACAGAACGAAAAGGUUUCUACUAAUACUAGGAGCUCAUGACGGUACUGUAAGAAUAAGCACCGGCUAACUACGUGCCAGCAGCCGCCGUAA
rnacentral:rRNA from 1 species